GAAUUGAUAGCAUACUCAUUAGCGAGCCUCUGGGUGGAUUGUUCUAUGACCCUUUGUGUGCAUUCUUCUGAAGGGAAAGGGAGGGCUUUGAAGCCCACCAUUCCAGAACUCUUGGCACAUGGGGGCAAAGUCUGGCCUUUCCCUGGAAUGCCAUAGCUGAGUUUGGAGUUUGGAGCCCAGAAAAGGUGCCAGGAGUGGCCUGAAACCUGCUGGUCAUUGGUCUAGGCAGGAUCAAAGACAUCCAUGAAGGUGGGGAGUCCUGGGAACCCGAGAAGGGGAGGGGACCAGCAGAGGAAGUGGAGCCCAAGCGGCAAAGAGCUCUGGGCUGGGAAAUCAUGAUCUCACGUGUUUGUUUAACAUGUUAAAGUUUGUAAAGCACUUUUCAUACCUUAACUCAUUUGAUCCUUACAGCUACUCUGUGAGACAAGGUGCUAUGAUCUUCCCCAUUUUACAAAUAAGGAAGUGAGGUUAAGGGACUGGCCCAGGGUCACAGAGCUAGUAAGUGUAUGAGGUAGAAUUUAAAUUUAAAUCUUUCUGACCAGAGCCCCAGCCCUUUAUCUGCUUUGCUACUUCACUACCUUUUAUUUAUUUAUUUUUUAAACCCUCACCUUCCAUCUUAGAAUCAAUAUGAAGUAUUAUUUCCAAGGCAGAAGAGCAGUAAGGGGUAGGCAAUGGGGGGUUAAGUGACUUGCCCAGGGUCACACAGCAAGGAAGUGUCUGAGGGCAGGUUUGAACGCAGGACCUCAAGUCUUUGGGCCUGGCUCUCAAUCCACUGAGCCACCCAUCUGUCCCUCUUCACUGCCUUUUUAGAAGGGGAAGGGACCUUCGAGAUCAAUCUAGCCUCUCAGUAAGUCACAGAAACUUUCUGAGCCUCAGUUUUCUUCAUUGUAAAAUGAGAAUAAUAAUAGUUGCAUUCCCUGCCUCAUAGACAAGGAGGAAAGACUUCUUUGAGCAUCCAAGUGGGAAAUGGGGGUGAUUUUAUUAUUAUCCAUCCCUCUGGAACAGGGGAGCAAUUUGCCCGAGGCCAUACAGCUAUCAAGUAACAGGGAGAAGAUUUGAACUUAGGUUAUAGAAUUGAAUGUUUAGGGUUGGAAGAGACUUUAGAGACUAAUUGAGUUCUCUCAUUUUACAGAAAAGAAUACAGAGGCCUCAAUUU
rnacentral:lncRNA from 1 species